rnacentral:lncRNA from 1 species
AAUACUGCAAAACCUUCAGUCAAGUUGAAGUAAUAAAAAUAUUUUGAUUGGUGCAGAGAAAAGGCAGUCUCACUGUGGCAUAGCCCGACGAGACAAGAGAAGUUAAAAUGUUUUUACCAGAUAGGAGACUAACAAUCUCGGCACCGGGAGUCUUCUUCGGAAAUCGCCUAAAGGCUUCAUCCGCGCUCGUAUGUCUGUCAGCCUGUCUCGGGGGUGGGGGUCUAGUGUUGCGACUGUUUCCUCUCUUUCUUUUCUGAAGUGUUUACAGUUUUAUGGAGGGCGAUCAGUUUUGGCUGGCGUCCUUUCUCUCCAUAGUGUGCGCCCCGGAUCUUGUCUAUACGUUUUUUGGGGUCUCCCAUUUCAGGGAGUCAAGAGGACGACUUCCUCCCGUCCAACUUUGAGCAGCCUUCGGAGAGUCUGGACGGAAGGGGGCGCGCGGGGGGACGCCCAGAGAAGCCCCUGGACGUGUCCGUGGUGUCCCCUAUGGGGGACGGGGCCCGCUUUUCCGGGAUCCCGGUCGAGGACGACAGUCACUUUUUCGCGUACUUCCUCACGGCAGUCGUGCUCUGCGUGCUGGGUUACCUGGCCUUCCACAACAAGCGAAAGAUUCUUGCCCUGAUUGUGGAAGGGCGGCAUGAGCGCCUGCGGCGGAGCAAUGCAGCGUACCGAAGGCUGGACAACACGGACGAGGACUUGAGCGUGCGGAAGGGGCGAGGGAGCUUCUAGACCCGCCGGUUACCCCGGCAGCGGAUGCCACGGGGCCGACGGGGCGCAGCGGCCUCCCUUCCGCUUUUCGGUUUUCCGGCCGCAACCGGGACACGCCUUCACCCGGACGAGCUCUCCGGGCUUUCAGCACGUCGCCAAGAGGUGUCCCGAGCCGCAUGUGUGACUCGAGGUGCGCCGCUCCGAACCUUGCCCUGGGCGAGCAGUUGCAACAAUCGGCGAGUCGCCUGCGAAACCCCGUGUGAACGCAUUUUCCCUGAUGCAGGUUGUCACUCGCGCGUUGUGCUGGCUUUCCCCGGAUGUGGUGUACAUCUGUCUGUAAAAUUUAUUUUAGUUCUUUUUUUAGCGGUUGGUGCGCAGCACUGGCACGAGUCUGUGGGCGACGCUUGCCAUAAGGUUGAGGCCCUGGUCUUCUGGCUGGCCUGCUUUCUGGCAAAGCCCCUUAUACCCCAUUCACACGAUGAAGAAGGUACCUAUAAACAUUUGACGGCCCCUGGGCGUCGCCAUCUUGCUGCUAAUGUGGGUAGAUCGUUUGAUAGUCAUUGAAGCAUUGCUGAGGCCAUGGGUACGCUUCAGCAAUGCUUCACUAUCAGAAGAUCUGACCACACCAGCAGCAAGAUGGUAGCGCCCAGAGGCCAUACUUGCAAACGUCUAUAACAUAUGGCUCUUCAACGUCAGCAGUGAAUCGGUUUGCUGCCCUCCGCGCGUUGUGCGUGUUCACAGCCCAAGAGUACGGGCCAAUUUGCCGAUUGUGAAGAGACCCAUUUUAUAGGUACCUCUAGGCUGCCUGCAUGAGCGGGGCAUUAGUGUGGUUGUCGCCAGAGGGGAGGAGCCACCCACGGCGUUGAAUGUGUUCCCGUUCCUCGUGAAGAGUUGUGGUCCUUCUCUGCACUGCCCGUCUCCCAAAGGUCCCUCUAGGUGCAGUUGCCUCACCGAGCAUGAUGCGAUAAAACCGUCCAGGGUUUCGAUGCACGGUAAAAGUAGGCACCCCAGUCAACAGUUGUUUUCUAGGUCACUUCUCUCCCUCCUUCUUUGGUCCAGAUGGAACCACACCCACCUGACUUAGUCUCGUGCUUUGCCAUGUUGUAAAUAGUGUAUCAUAAGCAGAAGUCAACAUGCAGGUUCAUGGUUCGAACAAAUAAAAAGAAUACACGCAUCUGA